UCGGGAAUAUUGCGCAAUGGGGGAAACCCUGACGCAGCAACGCCGCGUGGAGGAUGAAGGCCUUCGGGUCGUAAACUCCUGUCAGAUGGGACGAACCAGUUGUCGGCGAAACACCGGCAGCCUUGACGGUACCAUCAGAGGAAGCACCGGCUAACUCCGUGCCAGCAGCCGCGGUAAGACGGAGGGUGCUAGCGUUGUUCGGAAUCACUGGGCGUAAAGGGCGCGUAGGCGGCCCAUCGUGUCGGCUCGUGAAAGCCCGGGGCUCAACCCCGGAGGUGCGGCCGAAACUGAUGGGCUGGAGGCCGGAAGAGGAGGGUGGAAUACCCAGUGUAGAGGUGAAAUUCGUAGAUAUUGGGUGGAACACCGGUGGCGAAAGCGGCUCUCUGGUCCGGUCCUGACGCUGAGGCGCGAAAGCGUGGGGAGCAA
rnacentral:rRNA from 1 species